CCCUUAGAUGUUCUGGGCCGCACGCGCGCUACACUGAUGCAUUCAACGAGCCUAUCCUUGACCGACAGGUCCGGGUAAUCUUUGAAUCUGCAUCGUGACGGGGAUAGAUUAUUGCAAUUAUUAAUCUUCAACGAGGAAUGCCUAGUAGGCGCAAGUCAUCAGCUUGCGUCGAUUACGUCCCUGCCCUUUGUACACACCGCCCGUCGCUCCUACCGAUUGAAUGCUCAGGUGAGCCAUUCGGACCUUCAUCAUGCCGGUUUCCGGUUUUGUUGAGGGAAAGUCUUGCGAACCUUAUCAUUUAGAGGAAGGAGAAGUCGUAACA
rnacentral:rRNA from 1 species